rnacentral:rRNA from 1 species
CGUAGUUGAUCGAUGGCUCAGGACGACGCUGGCGGCGUGCCUAAUACAUGCAAGUCGAGCGGGACCAAAGGGAGCUUGCUCCUGGAGGUUAGCGGCGAACGGGUGAGUAACACGUGGGCAACCUGCCUGUAAGACUGGGAUAACAUCGAGAAAUCGGUGCUAAUACCGGAUAAUAAAAAGAACUGCAUGGUUCUUUUUGAAAGAUGGUUUCGGCUAUCACUUACAGAUGGGCCCGCGGCGCAUUAGCUAGUUGGUGAGGUAACGGCUCACCAAGGCGACGAUGCGUAGCCGACCUGAGAGGGUGAUCGGCCACACUGGGACUGAGACACGGCCCAGACUCCUACGGGAGGCAGCAGUAGGGAAUCUUCCGCAAUGGACGAAAGUCUGACGGAGCAACGCCGCGUGAGUGAUGAAGGUUUUCGGAUCGUAAAACUCUGUUGUUAGGGAAGAACAAGUGCCGUUCGAAAGGGCGGCACCUUGACGGUACCUAACGAGAAAGCCACGGCUAACUACGUG